rnacentral:rRNA from 1 species
UACGGAGGGUGCAAGCGUUAUCCGGAUUUACUGGGUUUAAAGGGUGUGUAGGCGGACUUUUAAGUCAGAGGUGAAAUCUCCGGGCUCAACCCGGAAACUGCCCCUGAUACUAUUAGUCUUGAAUAUUGAUGAGGUGGGCGGAACGGGUCAUGUAGCGGUGAAAUGCUUAGAGAUGACCCGGAACACCAAUUGCGAAGGCAGCUCACUGGGCAAUUAUUGACGCUGAGGCACGAAAGCGUGAGGAUCAAACAGG